UAAACGAUGUCGACUUGGAGGUUGUGCCCUUGAGGCGUGGCUUCCGGAGCUAACGCGUUAAGUCGACCGCCUGGGGAGUACGGCCGCAAGGUUAAAACUCAAAUGAAUUGACGGGGGCCCGCACAAGCGGUGGAGCAUGUGGUUUAAUUCGAUGCAACGCGAAGAACCUUACCUACUCUUGACAUCCAGAGAACUUAGCAGAGAUGCUUUGGUGCCUUCGGGAACUCUGAGACAGGUGCUGCAUGGCUGUCGUCAGCUCGUGUUGUGAAAUGUUGGGUUAAGUCCCGCAACGAGCGCAACCCUUAUCCUUUGUUGCCAGCGGUUAGGCCGGGAACUCAAAGGAGACUGCCAGUGAUAAACUGGAGGAAGGUGGGGAUGACGUCAAGUCAUCAUGGCCCUUACGAGUAGGGCUACACACGUGCUACAAUGGCGCAUACAAAGAGAAGCGACCUCGCGAGAGCAAGCGGACCUCAUAAAGUGCGUCGUAGUCCGGAUUGGAGUCUGCAACUCGACUCCAUGAAGUCGGAAUCGCUAGUAAUCGUGGAUCAGAAUGCCACGGUGAAUACGUUCCCGGGCCUUGUACACACCGCCCGUCACACCAUGGGAGUGGGUUGCAAAAGAAGUAGGUAGCUUAACCUUCGGGAGGGCGCUUACCACUUUGUGAUUCAUGACUGGGGUGAAGUCGUAACAAGGUAACCGUAGGGGAACCUGCGGUUG
rnacentral:rRNA from 1 species